CAGAAUAUGGAAUGGAAGGAAUUGUUUCGACAAAAGGAGAAAGAAGCUUGAAGAGUUGGGUGAUAGAGUCGAUAUCAUCUUCGCUAAAUCAAGUUGUAGAUCCCAAGUUGUUGAGCACCAUUGGAAGGGAACAUUUAAAAGUCAAGAAUUGUGCCUUAUCCAUUUUGCAAGUUGGCUUAGAAUGUUCUGCAGAGUUACCAAAUGAGAGGCUUCAUAUGAAAGAGGUUGUUACAAAGUUAAAGAAGAUCAAAGUAAAGUUAUCAAGGGAUAUGCAACGCGUUCGAUGAAGAGGCCAUUGUUAAAUUGACUAAAAUAAACAUAAGCUUUGCUUUCUAGCAAUAUCUUUGAUAAAUAUUUAUACAGAUGCUCUGUUUUCCUAUAAA